AUUGAACGCUGGCGGCAUGCCUUACACAUGCAAGUCGAACGGUAGAGUAGCAAUACUCGAGAGUGGCGAACGGGUGAGUAACAUAUCGGAACGUGCCCAAUCGUGGGGGAUAACGUAGAGAAAUUUACGCUAAUACCGCAUACGAUCUAAGGAUGAAAGCGGGGGAUCGCAAGACCUCGCGCGAUUGGAGCGGCUGAUAUCAGAUUAGGUUGUUGGUGAGGUAAAAGCUCACCAAGCCGACGAUCUGUAGCUGGUUUGAGAGAACGACCAGCCACACUGGGACUGAGACACGGCCCAGACUCCUACGGGAGGCAGCAGUGGGGAAUUUUGGACAAUGGGCGAAAGCCUGAUUCAGCAAUGCCGCGUGCAGGAAGAAGGCCU
rnacentral:rRNA from 1 species